CCCUGACGCAGCGACGCCGCGUGGAGGAGGAAGGCCUUCGGGUUGUAAACUCCUUUUGGGGGGAAGAAACAAAUCGACGGUACCCUCGAAUAAGCCCGGCUAACUCCGUGC
rnacentral:rRNA from 1 species